AUUGAACGCUGGCGGCAGGCCUAACACAUGCAAGUCGAAUGGUAACAGGAAACAGCUUGCUGUUUCGCUGACGAGUGGCGGACGGGUGAGUAAUGUCUGGGAAACUGCCUGAUGGAGGGGGAUAACUACUGGAAACGGUAGCUAAUACCGCAUAACGUCGCAAGACCAAAGAGGGGGACCUUCGGGCCUCUUGCCAUCAGAUGUGCCCAGAUGGGAUUAGCUAGUAGGUGGGGUAACGGCUCACCUAGGCGACGAUCCCUAGCUGGUCUGAGAGGAUGACCAGCCACACUGGAACUGAGACACGGUCCAGACUCCUACGGGAGGCAGCAGUGGGAAUAUUGCACAAUGGGCGCAAGCCUGAUGCAGCCAUGCCGCGUGUAUGAAGAAGGCCUUCGGGUUGUAAAGUACUUUCAGCGGGGAGGAAGGGAGUAAAGUUAAUACCUUUGCUCAUUGACGUUACCCGCAGAAGAAGCACCGGCUAACUCCGUG
rnacentral:rRNA from 1 species